rnacentral:rRNA from 1 species
ACUUAGUGAUCCGGUGGUUCUGCGUGGAAGGGCCAUCGCUCAACGGAUAAAAGCUACCCUGGGGAUAACAGGCUUAUCCCCCCCAAGAGUCCACAUCGACGGGGAGGUUUGGCACCUCGAUGUCGGCCCAUCACAUCCUGGGGCUGUAGUAGGUCCCAAGGGUUGGGCUGUUCGCCCAUUAAAGUGGUACGCGAGCUGGGUUCAGA